CCUACGGGAGGCAGCAGUGAGGAAUAUUGGUCAAUGGACGCAAGCCUGACCCAGCAACGCCGCGUGAAGGAAGAAGGCUCUCGGGUUGUAAACUUCUUUUAUCAGGGACGAAGCAAGUGACGGUACCUGAUGAAUAAGCCACGGCUAACUACGUGCCAGCAGCCGCGGUAAUACGUAGGUGGCAAGCGUUAUCCGGAUUUACUGGGUGUAAAGGGCGUGUAGGCGGGAAAGCAAGUCAGAUGUGAAAACCAUGGGCUCAACCUGUGGCCUGCAUUUGAAACUGUUUUUCUUGAGUACUGGAGAGGAAGACGGAAUUCCUAGUGUAGCGGUGAAAGGCGUAGAUAUUAGGAGGAACACCAGUGGCGAAGGCGGUCUGCUGGACAGCAACUGACGCUGAGGCGCGAAAGCGUGGGGAGCAAACAGGAUUAGAUACCCGAGUAGUC
rnacentral:rRNA from 1 species